GACGAACGCUGGCGGCGUGCUUAACACAUGCAAGUCGAACGGAAAGGCCCUGCUUUUGUGGGGUGCUCGAGUGGCGAACGGGUGAGUAACACGUGAGUAACCUGCCCUUGACUGUGGGAUAACUUCAGGAAACUGGGGCUAAUACCGGAUAGGAGCUCCUGCUGCAUGGUGGGGGUUGGAAAGUUUCGGCGGUUGGGGAUGGACUCGCGGCUUAUCAGCUUGUUGGUGGGGUAGUGGCUUACCAAGGCUUUGACGGGUAGCCGGCCUGAGAGGGUGACCGGCCACAUUGGGACUGAGAUACGGCCCAGACUCCUACAGGAGGCAGCAGUGGGGACUAUUGCACAAUGAGCGGAAGCCUGAUGCAGCGACGCCGCGUGCGGGAUGCAGGCCUUCGGGUUGUGAACCGCUUUCGCCUGUGACGAAGCGUGCGUGACGUUAAUGGGUGAAGAAGCCCCGGCUAACUACGUG
rnacentral:rRNA from 1 species